UACGUAGGGUGCGAGCGUUGUCCGGAAUUAUUGGGCGUAAAGGGCUCGUAGGCGGUUUGUCGCGUCGGGAGUGAAAACCAGGUGCUUAACACCUGGCUUGUUUUCGAUACGGGCAGACUAGAGGUAUUCAGGGGAGAACGGAAUUCCUGGUGUAGCGGUGAAAUGCGCAGAUAUCAGGAGGAACACCGGUGGCGAAGGCGGCAUCCUGGACCAAUACUGACGCUGAGGAGCGAAAGCCAGGGGAGCAAACGGG
rnacentral:rRNA from 1 species